GGGUUGUGAGGUUAAGCGACUAAGCGUACACGGUGGAUGCCCUGGCAGUCAGAGGCGAUGAAGGACGUGCUAAUCUGCGAUAAGCGUCGGUAAGGUGAUAUGAACCGUUAUAACCGGCGAUUUCCGAAUGGGGAAACCCAGUGUGAUUCGUCACACUAUCAUUAACUGAAUCCAUAGGUUAAUGAGGCGAACCGGGGGAACUGAAACAUCUAAGUACCCCGAGGAAAAGAAAUCAACCGAGAUUCCCCCAGUAGCGGCGAGCGAACGGGGAGCAGCCCAGAGCCUGAAUCAGUGUGUGUGUUAGUGGAAGCGUCUGGAAAGGCGCGCGAUACAGGGUGACAGCCCCGUACACAAAAAUGCACAUGCUGUGAGCUCGAUGAGUAGGGCGGGACACGUGGUAUCCUGUCUGAAUAUGGGGGGACCAUCCUCCAAGGCUAAAUACUCCUGACUGACCGAUAGUGAACCAGUACCGUGAGGGAAAGGCGAAAAGAACCCCGGCGAGGGGAGUGAAAAAGAACCUGAAACCGUGUACGUACAAGCAGUGGGAGCACGCUUAGGCGUGUGACUGCGUACCUUUUGUAUAAUGGGUCAGCGACUUAUAUUCUGUAGCAAGGUUAACCGAAUAGGGGAGCCGAAGGGAAACCGAGUCUUAACUGGGCGUUAAGUUGCAGGGUAUAGACCCGAAACCCGGUGAUCUAGCCAUGGGCAGGUUGAAGGUUGGGUAACACUAACUGGAGGACCGAACCGACUAAUGUUGAAAAAUUAGCGGAUGACUUGUGGCUGGGGGUGAAAGGCCAAUCAAACCGGGAGAUAGCUGGUUCUCCCCGAAAGCUAUUUAGGUAGCGCCUCGUGAAUUCAUCUCCGGGGGUAGAGCACUGUUUCGGCAAGGGGGUCAUCCCGACUUACCAACCCGAUGCAAACUGCGAAUACCGGAGAAUGUUAUCACGGGAGACACACGGCGGGUGCUAACGUCCGUCGUGAAGAGGGAAACAACCCAGACCGCCAGCUAAGGUCCCAAAGUCAUGGUUAAGUGGGAAACGAUGUGGGAAGGCCCAGACAGCCAGGAUGUUGGCUUAGAAGCAGCCAUCAUUUAAAGAAAGCGUAAUAGCUCACUGGUCGAGUCGGCCUGCGCGGAAGAUGUAACGGGGCUAAACCAUGCACCGAAGCUGCGGCAGCGACGCUUAUGCGUUGUUGGGUAGGGGAGCGUUCUGUAAGCCUGCGAAGGUGUGCUGUGAGGCAUGCUGGAGGUAUCAGAAGUGCGAAUGCUGACAUAAGUAACGAUAAAGCGGGUGAAAAGCCCGCUCGCCGGAAGACCAAGGGUUCCUGUCCAACGUUAAUCGGGGCAGGGUGAGUCGACCCCUAAGGCGAGGCCGAAAGGCGUAGUCGAUGGGAAACAGGUUAAUAUUCCUGUACUUGGUGUUACUGCGAAGGGGGGACGGAGAAGGCUAUGUUGGCCGGGCGACGGUUGUCCCGGUUUAAGCGUGUAGGCUGGUUUUCCAGGCAAAUCCGGAAAAUCAAGGCUGAGGCGUGAUGACGAGGCACUACGGUGCUGAAGCAACAAAUGCCCUGCUUCCAGGAAAAGCCUCUAAGCAUCAGGUAACAUCAAAUCGUACCCCAAACCGACACAGGUGGUCAGGUAGAGAAUACCAAGGCGCUUGAGAGAACUCGGGUGAAGGAACUAGGCAAAAUGGUGCCGUAACUUCGGGAGAAGGCACGCUGAUAUGUAGGUGAAGUCCCUCGCGGAUGGAGCUGAAAUCAGUCGAAGAUACCAGCUGGCUGCAACUGUUUAUUAAAAACACAGCACUGUGCAAACACGAAAGUGGACGUAUACGGUGUGACGCCUGCCCGGUGCCGGAAGGUUAAUUGAUGGGGUUAGCGCAAGCGAAGCUCUUGAUCGAAGCCCCGGUAAACGGCGGCCGUAACUAUAACGGUCCUAAGGUAGCGAAAUUCCUUGUCGGGUAAGUUCCGACCUGCACGAAUGGCGUAAUGAUGGCCAGGCUGUCUCCACCCGAGACUCAGUGAAAUUGAACUCGCUGUGAAGAUGCAGUGUACCCGCGGCAAGACGGAAAGACCCCGUGAACCUUUACUAUAGCUUGACACUGAACAUUGAGCCUUGAUGUGUAGGAUAGGUGGGAGGCUUUGAAGUGUGGACGCCAGUCUGCAUGGAGCCGACCUUGAAAUACCACCCUUUAAUGUUUGAUGUUCUAACGUUGACCCGUAAUCCGGGUUGCGGACAGUGUCUGGUGGGUAGUUUGACUGGGGCGGUCUCCUCCUAAAGAGUAACGGAGGAGCACGAAGGUUGGCUAAUCCUGGUCGGACAUCAGGAGGUUAGUGCAAUGGCAUAAGCCAGCUUGACUGCGAGCGUGACGGCGCGAGCAGGUGCGAAAGCAGGUCAUAGUGAUCCGGUGGUUCUGAAUGGAAGGGCCAUCGCUCAACGGAUAAAAGGUACUCCGGGGAUAACAGGCUGAUACCGCCCAAGAGUUCAUAUCGACGGCGGUGUUUGGCACCUCGAUGUCGGCUCAUCACAUCCUGGGGCUGAAGUAGGUCCCAAGGGUAUGGCUGUUCGCCAUUUAAAGUGGUACGCGAGCUGGGUUUAGAACGUCGUGAGACAGUUCGGUCCCUAUCUGCCGUGGGCGCUGGAGAACUGAGGGGGGCUGCUCCUAGUACGAGAGGACCGGAGUGGACGCAUCACUGGUGUUCGGGUUGUCAUGCCAAUGGCACUGCCCGGUAGCUAAAUGCGGAAGAGAUAAGUGCUGAAAGCAUCUAAGCACGAAACUUGCCCCGAGAUGAGUUCUCCCUGAGACUUUAAGUCUCCUGAAGGAACGUUGAAGACGACGACGUUGAUAGGCCGGGUGUGUAAGCGCAGCGAUGCGUUGAGCUAACCGGUACUAAUGAACCGUGAGGCUUAACCUUACAACGCCGAAGCUGUU
rnacentral:rRNA from 1 species